ensembl:lincRNA
GUCGCGGUGGAGAACCCCGCAGUUGUGGCAAUGCCGCACGGCCUCCAGCACCUGCCAGAAGAAUCCUCGGGCCAGGUCCUCCUGUAGGGCUCCUCGCUCGGUGAUAAAGUCGAAGAGGUCUUGCACCGGUUCGGGCCUCUCCAGGAUCAGCACGAAACUAUCGGGCCUCUCGAACCAGUCCAGAAGUCUAAUGACGCCCGAGAAGUCCGAGCUCACCUUCUUCAACAGGACCACUUCCAUGGGCACUCGGGUGCCAUUGGGCUGCAGAGAGUGAGGGCGAGGGUUAGCGCGCCGGUUCCGGCACGCCCGUCGCCACCCACCCACCCAUGAGAGGGUCUCUGGCUCCGGCUCACUCACCAAUUCUCCCCAAUCGGAAAUCCGGUCCUUCUCCACGUGCUUGAUGGCCACCUGGAAGAAGACCCCCGAGUCUCCAUCAGACCCUCCUGCUCAAAGCAUCCCUCCGCGCGCCCUCCCCGAGGCGGCGUUGCCCACUCACCGGCAAGUUGUCGGCGACGCGGAUGCCAGAGUAGACCGAGCCGAAGCCACCGCUGCCCAACAGCGGGCCCACCUGGUACUGCGACUCCAGGGGCUCCUUCUCUUUGCCUAGGAAAGAGGCACGGGACACUAAGCGCGCGCGACCCACGCGGGGGUCUCCCGGCGUCCCAACGACCCGCGCGCCCAGGGUGGGGUGGGGACACUCACCCGGCGCCAGCUUGGUGGCGUGCAGGUCGUUGCAGGGCGCGGCGCGCAGGCAUUUGUAAAAUGUUGAUGGCCAAGCAUGAUACCUCAUGCCUGAGACGCCAGCUCUCAGGAGGCCCCCGGAAAGUUCAAGAUCAGCUUGCUCUACAUGAUCCAGAGAAGCGCCUUUCUCUGAUUCCUUGUAUCUGGAAGAACUGAGAGGAGACGGGCGAACGGUUGUGAGAAUCUCUUUAAGGGGCAGUCCUGGAAUGAGUGAAGUGCACCGCUGACUCCUGGCCGCCUGUCUCUCCUAUGGCCUGGCAUCUUCACAGAUGCAGAUUUUGAAAAUGCAUUUCUCCUUUAUCUGAGAGCCCCCUCCUGCCCCCUCCUCCAGGACCGACACACUAUGUGUGGAACCUGUGAUGCUAGGCCAUCCUUCCUAUGGUUUGACAUAUUGUCUCACUAGUAAAGAGUAGAGCUGGAACCCACCAUGAAAUCCUGGCCCAGCAAAAUACGUGCCCUAGAGAAGAAGGACUACAAACUCAAGGUCACCUGGGGCUACAUACUUAAGAUCCAGUCUCAAAACACCAAAUCAAACAAAAAUUGCGCUAAUAAUAAAUUGUAGGAAGUAAGAAGAUGACACUAGGUAGCAGGUCUCAGGCAGCCUCUUUCUGGCUUUAGACUCAUGGUGGCUUAGAGUAGUUUUGAACUCCCAGUCUCAUCUUCUAAAUGUGCAGCUCGACAAACACGUCCGGCUAUAUACAUCUUUUUAAAAUUAAUUAUAUGUCUGUGACGAUGUGCAUGGGGUAGGGGUGGGGGGGCUACUCUAGGAGACCAGAGGCACUUGAUCCCUUGGGAUGUUGCCUGAUGUGUGUUCUGGGAACCGAACUCUGGUCUUCUGUAAUAAUAGCAAAGAGCACUAUCAACCUCUGAGCCAUCUCAUGCGGUUUACAUGGAUGUAUUUGAUAUAUACCUAAUAAUGGUAUUUCCUUUG